AACGUAGGAGACAAACGUUAUCCGGAGUUACUGGGCGUAAAGGGCGUGUAGGUGGUUUCGUAAGUCUGGCGUGAAAUUUUUCGGCUUAACCGGGAAAGGUCGUCGGAUACUGCGGAACUAGAGGACGGUAGAGGCGUGUGGAGUUCCGGGUGUAGUGGUGAAAUGCGUAGAGAUCCGGAGGAACACCAGUGGCGAAGGCGACACGCUGGGCCGUACCUGACACUGAUGCGCGACAGCAUGGGGAGCAAACAGG
rnacentral:rRNA from 1 species